rnacentral:tRNA from 2 species
GGGAAUGUAGUCAAGUGGUAAGGCAAAGAUAAAAAUUUAAAUGUAGGUUCAAAUCCUGCCAUUCCCA